AGAAUCCAACACUACCCUCUCUUA
rnacentral:siRNA from 1 species